rnacentral:rRNA from 1 species
GAUGAACGCUGGCGGCGUGCCUAAUACAUGCAAGUCGAGCGAACGGACGAGAAGCUUGCUUCUCUGAUGUUAGCGGCGGACGGGUGAGUAACACGUGGAUAACCUACCUAUAAGACUGGGAUAACUUCGGGAAACCGGAGCUAAUACCGGAUAAUAUUUUGAACCGCAUGGUUCAAAAGUGAAAGACGGUCUUGCUGUCGCUUAUAGAUGGAUCCGCGCUGCAUUAGCUAGUUGGUAAGGUAACGGCUUACCAAGGCAACGAUGCAUAGCCGACCUGAGAGGGUGAUCGGCCACACUGGAACUGAGACACGGUCCAGACUCCUACGGGAGGCAGCAGUAGGGAAUCUUCCGCAUUGGGCGAAAGCCUGACGGAGCAACGCCGCGUGAGUGAUGAAGGUCUUCGGAUCGUAAAACUCUGUUAUUAGGGAAGAACAUAUGUGUAAGUAACUGUGCACAUCUUGACGGUACCUAAUCAGAAAGCCACGGCUAACUACGUG